UACGUAGGGUGCAAGCGUUAAUCGGAAUUACUGGGCGUAAAGCGUGCGCAGGCGGUUGUGUAAGUCAGAUGUGAAAUCCCCGGGCUCAACCUGGGAAUUGCAUUUGAGACUGCACGGCUAGAGUGUGUCAGAGGGGGGUAGAAUUCCACGUGUAGCAGUGAAAUGCGUAGAUAUGUGGAGGAAUACCGAUGGCGAAGGCAGCCCCCUGGGAUAACACUGACGCUCAUGCACGAAAGCGUGGGGAUCAAACAGGAUUAGAUACCCUGGUAGUCCACGCCCUAAACGAUGUCUACUAGUUGUCGGGUCUUAAUUGACUUGGUAACGCAGCUAACGCGUGAAGUAGACCGCCUGGGGAGUACGGUCGCAAGAUUAAAACUCAAAGGAAUUGACGGGGACCCGCACAAGCGGUGGAUGAUGUGGAUUAAUUCGAUGCAACGCGAAAAACCUUACCUACCCUUGACAUGGNAUGGAAUCCCGAAGAGAUUUGGGAGUGCUCGAAAGAGAACCAUCACACAGGUGCUGCAUGGCUGUCGUCAGCUCGUGUCGUGAGAUGUUGGGUUAAGUCCCGCAACGAGCGCAACCCUUGUCAUUAGUUGCUACGAAAGGGCACUCUAAUGAGACUGCCGGUGACAAA
rnacentral:rRNA from 1 species